rnacentral:rRNA from 1 species
UUCAGAGGUGGCAAGCGUUGUUCGGAAUUACUGGGCGUAAAGGGCGCGUAGGCGGCCUACUAAGUCAGACGUGAAAUCCCCCGGCUUAACCUGGGAACUGCGUCUGAUACUGGAAGGCUUGAGGAUGGGAGAGGGAUGUAGAAUUCCAGGUGUAGCGGUGAAAUGCGUAGAUAUCUGGAGGAAUACCGGUGGCGAAGGCGGCAUCCUGGACCAUUACUGACGCUGAGGCGCGAAAGCUAGGGGAGCAAACGGG